CCUACGGGUGGCAGCAGUGAGGAAUAUUGGUCAAUGGCCGGAAGGCUGAACCAGCCAUGCCGCGUGAAGGUCAGUGCCCUAUGGGCGUUAAACUUCUUUUGUGCGGGAGCAAUAAUGGUCACGUGUGGCCAGACGAGAGUACCGUACGAAUAAGCAUCCGCUAACCUCAGGCCAGCAGCCGCGGUAAUACGGGGGAUGCAAGCGUUAACCGGAUUUAUUGGGGUUAAAGGGUGGGUAGGCUGUGAGGUAAGUCAGCGGUGAAAUGCCCCCGCUCAACGGGGUGAAGUGCCAUUGAUACUGGCUUGCUCGAAUGCGGAUGCCGUAGGAGGAAUGUGUGGUGUAGCGGUGAAAUGCAUAGAUAUCACACAGAACACCGAUUGCGAAGGCAUCUCACGAAUCCGAGAUUGACGCUGAUGCACGAAAGCGUGGGUAUCAAACAGGAUUAGAUACCCCAGUAGUC
rnacentral:rRNA from 1 species